rnacentral:rRNA from 1 species
GGGGAUGCUUAAUGGCAGUCGCACGGACUCAUAUUGAAACCUAGUGAUUUAUGAGUUAGUGGCGGACGGGUGAGUAACGCGUGGAUAACCUGCCGUAUACCGGGGGAUAACACUUAGAAAUAGGUGCUAAUACCGCAUAAGCGCACGGCUCCGCAUGGGGCAGUGUGAAAAACUCCGGUGGUAUACGAUGGAUCCGCGUCUGAUUAGCUAGUUGGCGGGGUAACGGCUCACCAAGGCAGCGAUCAGUAGCCGACCUGAGAGGGUGGACGGCCACAUUGGGACUGAGACACGGCCCAAACUCCUACGGGAGGCAGCAGUGGGGAAUAUUGCACAAUGGGGGAAACCCUGAUGCAGCGACGCCGCGUGAGUGAAGAAGUAUCUCGGUACGUAAAGCUCUAUCAGCAGGGAAGAAAAUGACGGUACCUGACUAAGAAGCCCCGGCUAACUACGUGCCAGCAGCCGCGGUAAUACGUAGGGGGCAAGCGUUAUCCGGAUUUACUGGGUGUAAAGGGAGCGUAGACGGCAGCACAAGUCUGGAGUGAAAUCCCGGGGCUUAACCCCGGAACUGCUUUGGAAACUGUGCGGCUGGAGUGCAGGAGGGGUAAGCGGAAUUCCUAGUGUAGCGGUGAAAUGCGUAGAUAUUAGGAGGAACACCGGUGGCGAAGGCGGCUUACUGGACUGUAACUGACGUUGAGGCUCGAAAGCGUGGGGAGCAAACAGGAUUAGAUACCCUGGUAGUCCACGCCGUAA